GAUGAACGCUGGCGGCGUGCCUAAUACAUGCAAGUCGAGCGAACGGACGAGAAGCUUGCUUCUCUGAUGUUAGCGGCGGACGGGUGAGUAACACGUGGAUAACCUACCUAUAAGACUGGAAUAACUUCGGGAAACCGGAGCUAAUACCGGAUAAUAUUUUGAACCGCAUGGUUCAAAAGUGAAAGACGGUCUUGCUGUCACUUAUAGAUGGAUCCGCGCUGCAUUAGCUAGUUGGUAAGGUAACGGCUUACCAAGGCAACGAUGCAUAGCCGACCUGAGAGGGUGAUCGGCCACACUGGAACUGAGACACGGUCCAGACUCCUACGGGAGGCAGCAGUAGGGAAUCUUCCGCAAUGGGCGAAAGCCUGACGGAGCAACGCCGCGUGAGUGAUGAAGGUCUUCGGAUCGUAAAACUCUGUUAUUAGGGAAGAACAUAUGUGUAAGUAACUGUGCACAUCUUGACGGUACCUAAUCAGAAAGCCACGGCUAACUACGUG
rnacentral:rRNA from 1 species